rnacentral:lncRNA from 1 species
CCUUCUUAAAAAAUGUCAACUGUUAUGAAGGUGUGUGACUUGUGUACUUUGGUGCACCUUUGCUUGGCACAGAAAUAUAAUUUCUUUGUUUGCCUAUAAAAAACGGGGAAAAAAAGACAUUGUUAUGAAGGUGUGAUAAAGAUGAAUCCCCAAGUUCUACUCAAGGAAGGAAUGAAAGGCAAUAAAAAAGCCCCAAGGUCUUGUGCUUUUAAUAUAUUUGCUUUUACCUAUAGAAAAAAAGGUAAAUUUCUAAUUUUAUGUCAAAAAAAAGCUUUUACUGUCUUUUAAUGUUUUUAUAGAAGAUUUAAUGGUUUAAAGAAAGAAAUAAGAGUCCUAAUUAGUUACUGUAUGGGUUAUGUUUAUUUUUUCAUAAUUUUAUUCAAAUUUCUGAUGUUAACUUAAGUCUAUGUAUAAAGCUAAUUGAUCUAAAAUAAGAAAGAUUGAUGAUCAAUAAUAUUUACUUUUUUUUUUUUGCAUGCCUUAGAAGAAAACCAAUUAAGUCACCAUAGAGAACUCCAAGUGAAAUUCUAAGAAGGGCUUUAGUGAAAUUGUAAAGUUUCUAUUUCUUCUUUUUUUGUCUUUCUUUUCUUCUAGUUUGUUCUACUUUUUCUGUUGCCAUAAUUUUUAUUCCUCGAUCUUCUCCUUAAACCCCAAAAGAUUGAAGCUUAGCCUACCUAUUUGAUUGUACAACCAUCCUAGUUUUAUCCUACAAUAGUUUUAGUAUUUGAGUGAAAUGGCUUAACGGUGCUAGUGGAGGAGUAGAACAACUCAUGCCACCAUGAUUAAAGGCCAUGAUUUUUUUAUUUAACCAUUGGUGAACAUACAAAAGGCAAACAAAGAGGAGAAUUGACGAUGUGCUAGCAUAUAUUCGAACUUGUGUUGCUUGCUAAGGGAGACUAUGUCCCAUGAUCAUCGAUGGAGGUUAUGGUUUGCAUAUAGCUUCACAAGAACUUGUUGAGAAGUUUAAUCUAAUCAAAUCUUAUCAAAUAGCAUGGUGAUGUGGGACCACCACAUACGCUCCCAAAAGCUUAAGCUAAUGGUGGGUAGAGGUAGCCCCACAUAUGAGAUCUAACCAACAUUGGUAAUUGGCCGAUGUGGGACAUUGAGCUUCUAUUUGUACUAUGUGAGACACCAUCAUUCAAUAGCUGAUGCCCACAUCAGUGAACCAGGGGCGAGCUAGGCCAAACCUCACUUUGAUACCAAAUGAUGUGGGACCACAUACACUCCCAAAAGCUUAAGCUAGUGGGGGUAGAGGUAGCCCCACAUAUAAGGCCUAAAUAACAUUAGUAAUCAGUCAAUAUAGGUCAUUGGACUUCUGUCCACCCUACGUCACAUGGGUAGAUGACAACUUUAUUUUGGUGAGUUCUUGUUUUUUAGUAACAAUUAAUUUUAGUAAUUAUUUUGAGCUAUUUAUAUGGUAUGAUGUUUUGUCGAUGAAAGUUGUCCAUAUUGUGUUGGGAAGGCUAUGACUUUUUGAUAGAAAAGUCCAAUGUUAUGACUAUAAGAACACUUACACACUUGUAUGCAGUGGGCAUAAGAAGAUUCUCCAUCCAAUAAAGGAAAUUCCGCCAUCUAAGCAACUAGUGGAAAAAUCAGCACCCUUGAAAUUAGAAAAACCAUCAAAUACUCCCCUUAAGAAACAAUUCAAAGUUAUGCGUAAGAAGGAAAGAGGCGUCAAUGAUGAACCUAGAAUGCGAGAUGUAUUAAAAUCAGUCCCAAAACAGCCUGUAGGAGAGCUCAAAGAAGUGAAACAGAUGCUGGUUGAUUCUAGUAACCCAAUUACCAUGGUACUAAAGAGUGAAUCAUUACCUAUGCAAAACCUACAACAUGCUGUUGAUAUGCUUCUGUAUUCUUCUUUCCUAUAUUACUUGUCUACCAUAUUGCAUCACAAAGGGCACAUGGGCUCUAAAAGACAAGUUAAUAUGUUGCCUACUAAAGACUUCAAAUAGCUUAAUGAAUUAUAUGAAAUCAGUCAUGAUCUUUAAAUUAACCAAUGCAUAAAGUAGGUUUGUGCAAAUCUCAACAUAGGUUUUAAUUGUCAAUGUUAAAGAGUAUUUACACAUAGUUUAUAUGCCUAUUGAUGGUUAUUUAAGGUACAUGCAAGCACAAGGAAAGCUAAUGCUUGAAUUUUCAAAGCAAAAAAUUGCUACAAUCAAUUUCAAAGUUCCAGAAUCCUACAUUAUUAUGAUAAGAAAUAUUUGAAGGACAGCAUCUACAAUUUCUUUGUCUCAUGGAAACCUUUGUUAUCAUGUUUUAGAAAGAUUGAUUUGUCAACUUCCAAUAUCACAUUUCAUUUGGAAAGAAUUUUUUUUUUUAUAACCGAUGAACCUUCCAUUACCAAGCCCUUAGGACUCUCCAUGGGGACCUAAACCUCGGGGUGCUGACCGUCCCACAACAACUAGCACUGGGUAAAUUCAGGGCAUCAUCUGUGGCAAUAUUUGAAUUCAGAACCAUGUACCACUUACUCGGACCACACUUCCCAGUGUUUGCCUUGACCAAUUGGGCUACCUUAGCGGGUAUUUCAUUUGGAAAGAUUUUGAAAUUCUUUAUUAUGUUAGCAAAAAAUAAACUUGAGGAAUGCUUAGAAGAUCUCAACUAAUGGUUGCAUUUAGUAAUAAGUUUACAAGGUUCUAAUGGAGAGUUCUAUGUUAUGGACUAUCUAUCCAUUCGUGUACAUCUAGGAAGAAAGAAAUGGUAGAAGGCAUUGCUUAGGAUUUCAAUUGACCAUGAAAUCUACUAGAACUCAAGGUCAAGGUUUUUUUUCCAAAGUUUGAGAGAAUUGAUGAAAAUGAAUCUCCAAGAUCACUCAAGAAAGAAAUAAAGGAAAAUAAAGAAAUCCUAAAUUACUCAAGGGUAAUUAGGCUAUUUUGUAGCCUUUUAGGUAUCAGAAAUAGUUAAUAGUUUGUGUAGGACCUCCGACACUAGCAACUCUCCUAAAAGCAAUUGUUGUUAGGAAAAGCGCAUACCCUAGCCUUAUAGUGGAUUCACCCAAGCGCCUAUGACAUUUGAAUGCAAGGGGAGUUGAUGGACGUGACCAACCUCCGAUCUACCAACAAUCUCCCCCCAGCAACACCCUUAGGGUUCGAACCCGUGACUUUAGCUUUGAUACCACUUGUAGGACCUCGAGUUGGUAGACCAACUCUCUUAAAAGCAAUUACUGUUAGGAAAAAUGCAUAUCCUAACCUUAUAAUGCAUUCACCCGAGCACCUAUGACAUUCGAACACAAGGGGAGUUGAUGGACAUAGCCAACCUCCAAUUUACCAACAAUUUGUAUUUGAAUUUUAUUUAUAAUUUGGAAAGCUUUAAAAUUUUCCUUAAAAGAAGUUUGUAAACUUUUUGUUUUCUAAAUUAAUCUCUAUUUUUAAAAGUUUUUAUUUUGAGCCCUUAGAAUUUAAAAAUCUUCUUUAUUAGAAACUUUAUUAUAAGAAGUUUCUAUAAAGUAAGUUUAUAAUUUUACCAAAGUAAAUAAAGUUUUUGAUUUUUUAAAACCUUUUUUAGCAGAUUUAAUGAUUUUAGGGAAGGAAUAAAAGUCCUUAUUAGUUACUAUACAAGUUAGAUUUACCUUUCUUAGUUUAAUUCAAAUUAUAUGGUUUUCUAAAAUCUAUAGACAAGGCUAAUUGAUGUAAAAGAAGAAGGAUUGAUAAUCGAUGAUAAGUGACAUGCUUUGUAACUCUCAAUGGUGAGGAUCCAUUAUUUUCUUCUAAAUCAGGCAAGAUUUUUUAUUGCUUCAUCUUUCUCUCCCUAUAUUUUAUUCUGCUUUUUCCUGCUGCCAUAAUUUUUAUUCUUGUUCCUUUCCUUAAACCUUAAAACAUUGAAGAUUGAGGCCCUAACCCACCUAUUUGAUUAUAGAUAGCCAUCCUAGGGUUGUCCGACAUCAAAGUGACUUUUGUCUUUUGACCCAAUUAUAUUAGAAAUUUCCUGAAAGAUAUCGAUACAUCUAGCAAUGACAGUAGCUGCAUUCCUAAACUAUUAAAGUAUCGCAAAUCAUGUUGGAACUUGAGUAUAUUUAUUUAGCUAACAUUUUGCCUAAUAGUCUCUAGGUCUCUAGUCAUGAUUAGAAGGGUUUUUAUUGUUAAUAUUUUUUAGCUAAUAUUUUACCUAAUAGUCUCUGGAAUCAAAUGAUAUGAUUUUCAGCAACUUUUUUUUUUUUUUGGAUAGGCAUCUUUUUUGUAUUUUAUGGACUAUCAUUUAUUUUAUAAUUGAAAAACAUCUCUUAUAUUGUGCAGGUCAUGUAAUGCUUUGCAAGAUAGUCCUCUUGUACUUAAGUUGGUUCCAGCAGUUGGCAUUAUUGUUUUUGCUGUCUGGGGUCUUGGACCACUUAUGCGCCAAACCAGAAACCUAUUUCCUCAGGUAUGAACAUUGUAUGUUGGGUUUUUUGCUGUGGUUCUUUUUCAUAUUUGCCUUAUGUUGCUCAUUAGUUGGUGAACUUUUUAUGUAACUCUUAAUAUUUCACAAUAUCCUGCAGAAGAGUGAUAAUAGUUGGAGAAAGAGUAGCACACAUUAUGUUAUGACCUCGUAUCUUCAACCUUUGCUGCUAUGGACUGGUGCAACACUCAUCUGCAGGUUUCACUAACAUUACAUUCUUGAAUUGCAUGAAUGUCCAUACAUACAUAUACAAACACACAGAUGCCUAUUCACCAGUGUACUGAUCACUUUUGUUGCACGGAUUCAGGUAUGAGUGUUAGAUGCGGGUAUUUGUCUAAGUGUCUUAUCCUUCACAGCUCAAAUUCUAAGAUAUGGGUACUCGACUAAAAAGGAUCCAAAAAGCGGGUAUUUGUGUUGGGAUAUGGCAUAAUUAAAGAAAAAUCAAUUAAAAAUAAAUUGGAAGUGAAAAUAUCCUUUUUAAAGGCUCCUUUCUUUUCCCUCUAAUCCUUGUUUUCCUUCUUUUCCUUAAAUAUUCUUACAAAAAAUUCACCUUUCAACUAACUCUUCUUUUUCUCUGAUGUAAUUAUUACUAAGAAAGUCGAAAGAAGAAAAGGAUAUCAAUGAAAAGUAAAAUAAGAGUGUUUGACAAAAUCUCAUACCAACACCCAUAUCAUUUGGUGUCAACACGGGUACAUUGGGUGAAAUUGAAGGAUCUGGGUAUCAUAGCUGAUCACAGUUGUCUUUCUUGCAGAGCAUUGGAUCCAAUCAUCCUCCCUACAGAAACUAGCCAG